rnacentral:lncRNA from 1 species
GGCCCCGGAGGCAGGGCAGCCCCCUCCCUCGGGGCCUCUUCCUGAGACCAAAGGGCUCCACUCUGUAGGAGCAGCCAGCCCCCUUUCCUCCAGGGCGAGCUGCGGUAUUCAGCACCGCCCUCCGUGGCUGCAAGCCUUCCCAGCCAGCCCGGAGCCUCCACUGAUCCCUCCUAAAGGCAUCUGGUCCAAGCUGCCCCCACUGCGGCCUGUCAAGCACUUUUGGAUCCUGGUUCUGUCAGGCCCUCAGUGCCAUCUGGCAACCACGGGGUCAUCCCUAGAUGUAGAGAAUGUGCCAUCCAUACCCGACUGCAAAUGGAUGUAUUGACGUUGAGUGGAACAGGCUGAGGACAGUGUCCCCUUCAUGCCGCUGGACAGCUUCCUGCCGUGACCUGUCUCUGCUAAUCAAACCUUGGUGGGGCCGAGGAUGGUGUAAUAAAAUACUGAAAUUUGCAAGCGAUUAAUUUUGAUUGUUUGUUUGAGACAGGGUCUCACUCUGUGGCCCGGGCUGGAGUGCGGUGGUGCAAUCGUGACUCACUGCAGCCUCCACCUCCCUGGGCUCAAGCAAUUCUCCUGCCUCAGCCUCCCAGGUAGCUGGGACCACAGGCACAGGCCACUACCUCGGCUAAUUUUUUUUUUUUUUUGAGAGACGGGGUCUCCCUCUGUCUCUCUGGCUUACUCCUAAAAAAUCUGUAACAUCCGAUUCAAAGCUAGUUCCAUAGAACCACUAUUCUCAUUUACUUGCAAUCCAACGAACUUUCUCCAGUUGAGGAGAAAGGGUGGCAUUCCUUCCUGUUUCUGGCAGGGGAAUCAGACCCAGGUCAGCACUGCCACUGCCUCUGGCCUCUGCGGAUAUCCCCAAAGGAGCCCCAGUUCUUCUAGACAGGAGGGAUUAUUUCCAGCCCUGGGGCACCACCCUCCUAGUCCUUGGCAAGUUUGUUUCCAUAACCAAACAAACAAACAAAAAAACCAAAAACCCCUCACAUUCACCUUCCCUCUCCACACCCUUGACCCCAAUAACCUCACUCCUGCUUAGUCAACCUCACUUCCGUCUGCUUGCAAAAGCAUUUUUUAUUUUACACUGUGAUUCCGCAUGGCAGUAUCCUCUUGUUCUCUACAAAGGUGGAUCGGAAGUAACUUCCAAAAUUACAAAUACUAAAAUAGGAAAGAUGUUGAGUAAAAGCCAAGGCCAGAGAAGAGACUAAGGGGAAACUGGGUCACAAACAUGCACAUUACAGGUUCUCACAAAAUUACUAAAGGUGAAGUGUGAAUUUGGCUCUGAGUUUCCUGACAGCCAAAGGGAGAAGAGAAAGAUGAUCUGUUGCAUGAUUCACUGUUUCCCUGAGGUAAACACACCUGUUUUUCAGGGGAAAGCAAUGGGAUUGCUGCAAUGAGUUCCAAAAGAAUACUUUUCCCUAACAUUAUAAAGUGUGGUGACAAGAAAGCAGGGCCAGGUUCCAUCCUGAUUAUCUCUUUACUCUUCCACUGAUACCUCUUCUGGGCCACACACUGUUCCAUGCCCUGUGCUAGUCUGCAUUGACUGGUAGCUUCUUUGACCAAAGUUAUUAACUGCAAAGUAGCCAAGAAUCAUCACAACCUCUGCAGUUGCUCAGAGGUCAUACUUGAAGUGUGGAGUUGUCCCCGUCUGGGUAGAGCUCUACCUACGGUUGUUCUGAAUUUGCAGUGCAAAGGUACGUGUGAAUGCGGGAACUGAAGUCAUUUGGCCUCUUCUGAUGAGAUACUUGCAACAUAUGGGCAUUUUAGCAAGGGCUUCCCUCUGUCUCUCUCUCUGAGCCACCUCUGUAUGAUCUGGUCUCUCUAUGAGAGGAACUGCCCUGUAGGGCUGGCGGGGUCUUAGGGUCGUUUUGACCUUCCGAACAGCACAUAGGUGAGAUACUACCUGGAAAAUAGCCACCCCUCCACUGUCAAUGCCCACAUUCUGUCCCUGAGUCACCCUCUGCUCCCCCUUUCGGUUUAACCACUUCCUGCCUACUGUUUGUUGUCUAAACAGCACAGUCAGAAUGACAUAUUUGAACACUUCCCCACCCUCUAAUGUAAUUUUCCCUUCCAAGCUUAUUUCUUCUCUGAGUGUUGGAAUUUUGUAUUCUGAAAAUCCAAGUCACAUGCCAGACAGUGUUCGAACGUUCUCUCCUUGGCUGGGAAAAUGAUUAUAAUUGCUCAUAUGUACUGAAUGCUUUCUGCAUGUCAGGCAUGGGGAAAAGCUGUUUGCAUACUUUACCUUACUUAAUCCCCCUAGCAGCCCUGGGAAGUACAUGCUGUUAUUAUCCUCACUCUACAGACCGGGUCAGCAGAGUCCCAGAUACUUGCCUGGGGUCACCGAGGGUGUUAAGGGUGGAGUUGGCAUCGACCCUUAGCUCCAUUUGACCAGAGUCUGUGCACGUGACCAUCACCCAGGACCACCUUCCGGGGUACCUAGGGGACAUGGGCACUCCCCCUGAGUUUCUAUUUCCACUUGGCCAGCCUAUUGGUCUCUGUUGGUCAUUACUGGCUCGAAUGCUUCACAGCAAUGGUUUUUUCCGCCUUCUGGGGGAUGACAGUAUCAGCGUGGCAAGGCGAGUGUGUUGGAUGUUCUGCUUGUAACUAAACAGAUACUGGUUCUCCCACGCCCACUGGUCCCUGUGCAUGGCUGGGGGCUAUCUCCAGGUGUCACCCAGCCCGGCUGUCUGGCUGGCCAAUGGUGUUGGUUGGCCAGUGCCUUUCUCUCUUUCCCCUAUCCCUAAGGCCCUCCCAGGUGCCUUCUCCUCCAGGAUGGCUGCUUUCUUUGAAGGCAGACGUAUUUCUGACACAGAGCUCCCUGCGUUGACUGUCUUCCUCACCUCUGCCCCCAGGCAAGGCCAAGAGCAUCCUAGAAAAGCCCCUGCCCUUUUCUCCAGGGCCUGAGUGGGCCUCUCUAGCUCCAAUACCCCCAGUCCACCCGCUCAGACCUGGCCUCAGGUGCAUGCCCUUGGCCUCCGUCCUGGCUCUUCCUGUGGUCAUCCCUUUGGAUAAGAUGGUUCGCCUGUCCCAUUACAUCCCUAGCCUGCCUUCACCAGACACGCUGCCUUCACCCACAGCCGGGGAGGCUCCCGGAAGCUUCAGCCAGUUAGAGCCUGCCCUGCCGUCUGCCUGAAAGUGGGUUAGUCACUCUGUCCCAACACAAAGCUUCCCUUUCCUCUGGGCAACAUGUUCAACCCAGCCAGCAGCCAGCAGCCACAUCUACCUCAUCUAGUCUCCACAAGGACACUCGCAGAGGCAAUGACUCCAGAAUUCUGCAUGGAACAGAGUGGGCAGGGAGCUGCCUCGCCACCCAGUUUGGGCUGAGCCCUGAACAAUACUUCCUGCAGAGACCCUGCCUGUGGGACCCUUGGCCACUGGAAGCUGAAUGUCCUUUACUUUUAUAUAUAUUUUAAAAUAAUUCCAACUUUUAUUUUAGAUUCAGGGGGUGCAUGUGCAGAUUACGAGGGUUUGUUUUUCUAGUUUUAGUUUUUUGAGACAGGGUCUCUCUCUGUCGCCCAGGCUGGAGUGUAGUGGUACAAUCAUAGCUCAAAGAAGCUUCGACCUCCUGGGCGCCCAUCCUCCCAUCUCAGCCUCCAGAGCAGCUGGGACGACAGGCCUACGUGUCCUUUAUUGAUGGGAAGGCCUAAGUGGGCAAUGGGCCUUCCAUAGUCUCUUGGCAGAGAGCCUUGGUGUGGCCCUCCUCAUCUAGGUCAUAGUGACAUCGAAGAGGUGGUUUUUAGAACAAGAAGUCAUUGGUCAACAAGGAGAAAGACAACUUUUUCCUCCUCUUGACUCCGAAAAAGUGCUCUCCUGGUGUAACAAAAACAGGAAGACAGACUGCACUUGGCGAACUUGCCAUGAUGAGGACUUGAGCGCCAAUGAGACUCACGCUGGAAAGGUGGCAGCAUGAGGCAGGGGUUUGUGUGCUGUUCUUAGAUGUGUCCUCACCUCUAGGACGGAGCCUGAUAUGGAGCAGGUACUCAAGCCGUAUUUGUUCAGUGAAUGAAUAAAUGUAUACUAACCAGAUGGGUUAGUAUGUAAAGGAACGGACAUCCUCAGCCAAUGCCUCUCUCCUCUCAGUGAGUUGUGCAAUCCACAAGGUCUUUCCUUUGACAUGCCCCAGGUCCAGGCCACACCGCAGCCCCACGAAGCUGGACUCUGCCUGAGCACCUGCCUCACUGCCCUGGAUGUUCUCCUUCCCAGCAAUGCUCCUUUCCCAGCAAACACUCACUCCUCCUCCAGGGCCCAGCUCGAAUGCACCACCUCUAACUUCUCAUGGAGCUUUCCCACACAACUUUAUUCCACAACUAAUUACACUGCAUUAAAUUGUGUGCAUAUCUUUCCCAGCAGGCUACAGGCUGCUCAAAAGAUGCAGAAGUCUUGGCAGUGCUUACAGCCUGCAUCAUUAGAGGCACCCAAAACAAAGGGCAAGUCAGCCAAGAAUGAGUCAACGAGCAGGUGAAACCAGUAGGUGGGAUGAUGGGGCAGUGGAGAGGGUGGGACUGUGGCUAAUUCUGAUCAACAAAUGGGCUCAACUGGAGCCACACAAUCUCAAUCCUCAUCACAGGCUCCAAGGGCUGAAAACUUUUAGCUAGUGAAGUUUCCCUUAAAUUAAAAGAAAAAAAGAAAUCUGAUGAACGCAGUUCUGCAAGGACAACCACGAAAGGGUAAAUUGUGAUACAAAACAUCAGAAAGACCAAAA